CCAAAUUUAGGUGUACAAAUAAAUUGUUCUUGGGACAGUACAGCGGUGUAUGAACAAAAAUAUUCUACAAAUACAGAUGUAUCUACUCCAAGUACGAGUAUAAAUAAGGCAGUAGUGGUAACAUCGGAAACAGCUAGUACUUCAAAUGUACCUGGACCUGCGGUAUAUGAACAAGAAUAUUCUUCAAAUACAGAUACAACUACUCCAAGUACAACAGCUAGGACUGUAGUGGUAGCACCAGAGCCGGCAAGUAGGAAUGUAACUGAACCCACAACAUUAUGCCUGAAAAAAAGAAAAUUGGUUCAUCUGGACUUAGAUGUGAUGAACGCGAGCUCCGUGUAAAAAAAAUUAAGGAGAGUAUAUUACAACAGCGGGAGCUUCAUACACAACAUAUGAUAACGGCAAAAAUGGAGUACUUGUUGGCUGUCCUUAAGGUGAAACACCAAUUAAACGAAAUCGGGGAAGAGCUUAACGUAAAGGAAACAAACUUUGAUACC